UCUCCGUUGGUGAACCAGCGGAGGGAUCAUUACCGAGUUUACAACUCCCAAACCCAAUGUGAACGUUACCAAACUGCUGCCUCGGCGGGGUCACGCCCCGGGUGCGUCGCAGCCCCGGAACCAGGCGCCCGCCGGAGGAACCAACCAAACUCUUUCUGUAGUCCCCUCGCGGACGUUAUUUCUUACAGCUCUGAGCAAAAAUUCAAAAUGAAUCAAAACUUUCAACAACGGAUCUCUUGGUUCUG
rnacentral:misc_RNA from 1 species